rnacentral:rRNA from 1 species
GUGCGCGCCUGUAGCAAUACAGGUGGCGCACGGCGCACGGGUGCGUAACACGUGGGUAACCUGCCCUUUAGUGGGGAAUAACCUCGCGAAAGCGAGGCUAAUUCCGCAUAAGAUCCGCAAGGAUGAAAGCCGUAAGGCGCUGAUGGAGGGGCCCGCGCACGAUUAGCUAGUUGGUGAGGUAAUGGCUCACCAAGGCUAUGAUCGUUAGCUGGUCUGAGAGGAUGGCCAGCCACACUGGAACUGAGACACGGUCCAGACUCCUACGGGAGGCAGCAGUGGGGAAUCUUGCACAAUGGGCGAAAGCCUGAUGCAGCGACGCCGCGUGGGGGAUGAAGCUUCUCGGAGUGUAAACCCCUUUCGACCCGGACGAAUACCUCGCAAGAGGGGUGACGGUACGGGUAUAAGAAGCCCCGGCUAACUACGUGCCAGCAGCCGCGGUAAGACGUAGGGGGCCAGCGUUGUUCGGAAUUACUGGGUGUAAAGGGUUCGUAGGCGGUGUGGCAAGUCGGGAGUGAAAUUUCUGGGCUCAACCCAGAGGCUGCUUCCGAAACUGCUGUGCUUGAGUGUGGGAGAGGCGCGUGGAAUUGCA